UACGUAGGGUGCGAGCGUUGUCCGGAAUUAUUGGGCGUAAGGAGCUUGUAGGCGGUUUGUCGCGUCUGCUGUGAAAAUCCGGGGCUCAACCCCGGACUUGCAGUGGGUACGGGCAGACUAGAGUGUGGUAGGGGAGACUGGAAUUCCUGGUGUAGCGGUGAAAUGCGCAGAUAUCAGGAGGAACACCGAUGGCGAAGGCAGGUCUCUGGGCCACUACUGACGCUGAGAAGCGAAAGCAUGGGGGAGCGAACAGG
rnacentral:rRNA from 1 species